GCAACCUGCAGCUGGCGCGGCAGAACGUCGUGGUGUUCCGCUCGCUCUUGGGCAUCAGCUGGAUGUGGUUCUUCGGUGCGGUGUUUCUGAGCCAGUUUCCAAGCUUGGCCAAGGAGGUGCUG
rnacentral:ncRNA from 1 species